CCGUGCCGUGGCGGCCGGGCCCUAUCCGGGGUCCGGCAGCACACCUGGCCAUCCGUGUCUACUUACCUGUUGCUUCGGCGGGCCUGCGGGCCUGCCUGCUGCCGGGGAACCUGGUUCCCGGGCGUGCUGCCCGCCGAAGACUAUAACAAACUCUGGUUAAAGAUUGGCGUCUGAGUUGAUUAAACAAUCAGUUA
rnacentral:misc_RNA from 1 species